rnacentral:lncRNA from 1 species
UCACAAGACCUACAAGGCCUGGGAGACUUGGACCCUUCUGUGGCAGCUGCUGUAAGGGUCUCCCAGAUGUCUCUGAUGCACUAAGUGUCUGUUCAAGCAGCUGAACACUGCUGCAAUGAAGGACUUCUUUUGCAGAUGAAUACUUGUGCUGAGUGGUAGUGGGCUUUUGUGUCCAGUGCUGCAAGAACUUUGCAUCCUUUGCAGUAAGAUAAAAGGCUGCCAAUGAACCUCCUGGUAUUACCUUAUACAAACUCAAUUCCUACCAAGCACACAUUCCUGCAAAAAUCUCCCUCAGUUAAUAAGUUAGGACUCACUCUAAGUCCAAUUUCUGGAGUUAAAAAGAGACUAAAGCACUGAACCACUGUGGUUUUUCACACUUGUACCAAUGUCAUACUCAAUUAUCCCAGCACUCUCUUAGAGGGAAAUGUACAAGUACCUUGGUGUAAGUCAUCUGCUGCCAAUGCAUACCCCUAGUUUGGCAUCGCUUCGCUUUCACUGCAGCAUCCUUGUAUUCUCAGUAGCCUCUUGAGGGUUCCCACUCAUUGUCUUAGUUAUCAAAUAUGAUGGGACUUCUUUGUUCACAUCGGCAAGAUCAAUCUGCAACUUUAUCAUCCAAGUUCUGCCUAAGUAAAGAAACAGAGGAAUGAGGAUUGCACUUUUUUAGGCUUCAUAAGGGAAAAUGUGGGCCAUAAAGUGGAAUUACCUACUCCUUCUUCCUAUCAUGGAUCCAAACUCUCACUGAGUGGUGAUUCUGCCAUUGGCCAAGUGUCCUUGCGUACAACUUUAGAAGUUAUAAGUCACACAGAAGAGCAUAGAGAUUCAGUUUAUUCCCAGCGAACGAAGAGGUCCUCCCAAGUCACUGACCUCUUGUGGUGAGAAAGGAAAAGGAAACAACAGUGCCGAGUCACAAUUUCUACCUGAGGUCAAUACAAUCCAAAGCAGAGGGAGAACAAUGAUCUUCAGUUCACGUUUUCCACUCAGGAGUAAUCAAAAUGGCAACCACUGCAAAAUCUCUUCGAAGUGGAUGCUUUUUCCCCAGCACUUUUCACGAAACCCUACAGAAUCAGGCUGAAGAGAAGCAAUACUGAAACAAAAGGCAGUGCAGAAAGUAUGCCGAAAAAGCUUCCCAAAACACAUAUAUUGACAUAACACAGAAAUGAAUCUCUCCCUCAGCUGACAUCUAGUAUUUGUGAGGAAUUUGAAGACCCCUCACACCGAAUCCAUUCAAUACAUGCAUUUAAGUCUUGGAUAAAGCUUUGAAGAUGAAAGACCUUAUUUUUAAU